rnacentral:lncRNA from 1 species
GGUAAUUACUGGCUCUGUUGACAAUGGAGAAUCCCAUGAACGUAUUCAUUUUUGUUUAAAUAACCGGCUGCAGUAAAUCAAAUGAAACUAUUUUCGUUUUUAACAGUGAAGCACUCAAUCACCAUGAUGAAGGCUUUACCAGAUAUGUUCCCAUCACCUGUGGCUCCACCGAAGAAGUUAGGACAUGCAAGUGAGGCUAUGCUUCACAUCCUUGAGUCUGCAGAAGAAGACCCCAACACCUUUCUUCAGGCAAGACCACUCUUCAGCCCUGUCGUGAUUGUCUGUGAAACCAACUGCAUACUGGCCAUUGGAACCAUGCCUGUGGUGACCUUCCCAAAAGAGGACAUCUAUGCCAGCGUGACGUAUCUCAUGGCGUGUUAUUACACCUUUCACCUCACAUAUCCCAAGUGCAUUGCGACACUCCUCUCUGUGCUGCAGACAGAAGUCCUCUCGAAUGCCAUCCACGACCGGGACAUGACUUCUUCAUAUAAAAAAGCGAUGGCCGAGUGGAAAAAGUUAAUUACUGACUAGGGUUGCACAAUACAAUUAUUUUAUUUCCGGUCCUGAUAACAGAACUGUGUGUAUUGGCCCAUCCGAGAACCGAUCCGAUAACCUUUAAUAAAUAGGCAGGGCGUUUGUUGUUUAUUAUAAGAAGGUUUAAAGCACUGUUAUGUUUGUUAUCUUCCCAUUGGUCUUACAUUUUCACCUUGACCACCAAUGGCCUUUGUUGUUGUUGUUUUUGCAUCCUUUGUUCUGCCCAUAUCAGCCUCUGGAUAUCCUCAAUAAUGAAGUUAAAAGAAAUGAGAUUCAUUCUUUCUUUAAGCAGGCCAAUCUCAUUUCUAGUAGUAGUACAAGUACAUUUAUCUUAGUCAGGAUUACUUAUUUUAAGCACAAUAUGCUAUUUUUCUGUAAAUUCCUGGGAAUAUUGCCUUAUUUCAAGACGAGUGCAAUAGCAUUGGAUUCUAAAUUUUUAAGCACAUUUUCCUACAUAUUGAGAAGAUAAUUAUUAAAUAUUUUCUUUGUAUCCAGACAAAUGUACUUGUUUUUAGUGUAGCUGUACUUGUUUUAAGAUAUAUUUACUAAACAUAUAGCCUUAUUUCAAGAUGAUGGCACUAGCAUUUGCUAAAUUUAAGCACAUUUUCUGACAUAGAGAAAAAUAUUGUUAAAUCUUUUCUUUGUAUCUAGACAAAUUGCUUGUUUUUAGUCUGAACGCACUAGGUUUAAGAUAUCUGUGCGUUCUUUGAGACUAGAUAUUUUUACUUGUUUCAAAAAUCUUGGCAAGUAAAAUUUUCCUGUCCUGUUGGCAGAUAAUUUUGCUUAUUUUAAGUAAUAUUUCCCUAAUUUUAUUGCUUUUUUUCUUGUUUUUGAGAGCUGACUUUUUGCAGUGUAAAAUGUAAUUUGGAACAUGGAAAAUACUAUUGUUUAGGAUAUUGUAAACAUACUGUACUUUAAUAAUAGGCUAUAUUGUUGUAUGGGUGAAAUGAAAAGUAUUUUGUCAUCUCUGCUUUGCCUAGCCCCAUUGAAUAAAAAGUAUUUCGUACAGCCCAACUAUUUUGUUUCUUUUACAAUUUAAACACAUUUACCAUAGACAAUGUAAUUGUUGUGGUAGUCGUAG